rnacentral:rRNA from 1 species
UAAUACAACUCUUUCCGCCAGAGAACUACAAGUGAAAAACUUGAAACUCAAAGGACUUGACGGUGUCCCAUAUCGGCCUAGAGGAGCCUGUCCUAUAAUCGAUACCCCCCGUUCCACCCAACCCCAACUAGCAAACAUACCAGCCUAUAUACCGCCGUCGACAGUUUACCCUAUGAAGGUCUAAUAGUAGACACAACAGCCUCUAACGCUAAUACGUCAGGUCAAGGUG